UGUGAGAAUGAUGAGUUGCACACUGGUGGAGCCGUGGUAUCAGGUUGAUACAGGGACCACUCAGUACCACCCUGGUGACAAAAUCAAGUGCACAGGGGCCAUCUGACUCACA